GGACUACGGGAGGCAGCAGUGAGGAAUAUUGGUCAAUGGGCGGAAGCCUGAACCAGCCAAGUCGCGUGAAGGAAUAAGGCCCUACGGGUCGUAAACCUCUUUUGCCGGGGAGCAAGGGCCGGGACGCGUCCCGGCCCGGAGAGUACCCGGAGAAAAAGCAUCGGCUAACUCCGUGCCGGCAGCCGCGGUAAUACGGAGGAUGCGAGCGUUAUCCGGAUUUAUUGGGUUUAAAGGGUGCGUAGGCGGGCUUUUAAGUCAGCGGUAAAAAUUCGGGGCUCAACCCCGUCCGGCCGUUGAAACUGGGG
rnacentral:rRNA from 1 species